GGAUUAAGAGCUUGCUCUUAUGAAGUUAGCGGCGGACGGGUGAGUAACACGUGGGUAACCUGCCCAUAAGACUGGGAUAACUCCGGGAAACCGGGGCUAAUACCGGAUAACAUUUUGAACCGCAUGGUUCGAAAUUGAAAGGCGGCUUCGGCUGUCACUUAUGGAUGGACCCGCGUCGCAUUAGCUAGUUGGUGAGGUAACGGCUCACCAAGGCAACGAUGCGUAGCCGACCUGAGAGGGUGAUCGGCCACACUGGGACUGAGACACGGCCCAGACUCCUACGGGAGGCAGCAGUAGGGAAUCUUCCGCAAUGGACGAAAGUCUGACGGAGCAACGCCGCGUGAGUGAUGAAGGCUUUCGGGUCGUAAAACUCUGUUGUUAGGGAAGAACAAGUGCUAGUUGAAUAAGCUGGCACCUUGACGGUACCUAACCAGAAAGCCACGGCUAACUACGUGCCAGCAGCCGCGGUAAUACGUAGGUGGCAAGCGUUAUCCGGAAUUAUUGGGCGUAAAGCGCGCGCAGGUGGUUUCUUAAGUCUGAUGUGAAAGCCCACGG
rnacentral:rRNA from 2 species